rnacentral:misc_RNA from 1 species
GGCAGCAAAUCGCCAAUAUAUGAUGGAGAAGCUGAAGCCUUGUGUCCUUGAGCAAAGUUUUUUAACUUCUCUGUUUCACCAACAGCAGACAGCCAUUCUGUCAGUAUCUCCAUGGUGAUNNGUGAUAUAAUCAGGAUUACAAGCCUGCUCGAUCAUUCUAUCCAUUAAUUCAAAGGUUUGCUUCAGCCAUUUCUUCUCCCGAAGACCUUUGAACAUGGCAUUAUAUGUUGUA